CAAAAAUAAAUAAAUAAAUAAAAUAAAAUGCGAGGGGCUGACUACACCCCCCACCCACCUGGCCUACCCCCACUUUAGUCUAGGAUGCCUCACUGCUGGGGGCUUCCUCUUAUUAGAUCUUGGCAGAAAAAGGCCAGGGCAUAUCAACUAAAUUCUGUCCUAGGGGCUUUACUCCUUCCCUCCUAAUAUUCUCUGAGGGUGUAAAAUUUAGAGGGACAGGGGAGAGCUAAGGUGGACUGGGUUGUGCCUGCUUUCCUGGCAGGACUGUGGUGGCGUGCUGCUCCUACCUGUCCUCAGAAGCUGAUCAUUCUCCUCCCAGGACAGCCCGGAGAUUAUGAGAUUAUCACAGAGCGGUGUGACCACCACCAGCAAGACAAUAAAGAGCACACCGAUGGGAGAGAUGGCAAGGGAGAAGAUUAUUUUCCUUGGAACUUUCAAGAAGAAACAGAGAAAAAAGAGAAGAGAUGAAAGAAGAGGACAUUUCAAAGAAAACUUGGGAAAUUGACUCCUAGAAGUAGAUGAUUCAAGGAUUUAUGUUUAAACAAUUGUUGAGAAUGACUUUACUGAAGGCAACACAAAGGCAGUGCCCCUGGUUUUACCAACUGUUAAGGUGUGUGGCUGCUGUUGGUCAACAGGAUCCAUAGUUGGGGAGAAGCAAUGGAUAUGGAACAGAGGAGAGCAAGGACAAGCUCCAUCCCGCAGGGCACCUUUGCGAAUUUCUGUCACCAUGUCUGCUUACAACAACUUUCAGAGAUUAAUGACUGUUGUUUCACCCUGCCUUCUAAAUCUCACACAAAUUCCUCUUAGACAACUCAACUCACAGUCACAGAAGAGAUUGGGGAUCGUUCCAGCUUAACCAAGUUAACACAGUGCAAACCAGCACAGUCAGAUUUCUGCUUCUGGUAGUGUGGACACGAUCGUUCAGACAUCUCUGGUCUCAUAAAAGGUAGUAUAAGUCUCUAAGGACCCUCUCUCCACAAAUACAGAAACCAAUAGAUCAGAGAGACAAUGAAAGCAUAAGGCAGAUGUCAGUAAUCACAGUGCCAUCAAGACACUGGGCUUUGGCCUGGUAGGUAGGUGAGGAAUUUGAGCCUGGGACAUGCAAUGUGAGCAGAAGCAGAAGCAGAAGCAAUUGCGUCUAGAGGAAACCCUCAAUAGUUCAGUCUGCAAGUUAAGCAAUCAUUUCAAAAUCAAAGAUCCCUCUGUGCAUUGGAAGGCUGAAUCCAUCAGUCAGUAAUGAAUACCUGACGGUCUCAGUGCUGAAUGAAAUGGCUAACAGAAGUAAAAACAAGGAACGGAACUCACCAGCAUGGAAAUCAGAAAAUCCUGCCAGGUAUAUUCUGUGAACAUCUGCUUAUACGGAGAAGUAACACUCUACUGUAAGGGGAGGGCACAUUAGUAGGUAUCAGUUUUUGGCAUUGUUAUGUUUUUUAUGUUGUCAGUCAUAUAGGAUGUUCCUUAUGUUGUUUUGCUUAAAGCUUACAGGUACAUUACAUAUAUUUUUAAUGUAUUAAGAGUUAUGUAUGGAUGUGUAUAUAUAUGUGUGUGUAUGUAUAUAUGUUUGUGUAUAUAUGUAUAUAUAUAUAGUUUUAUUCAUUGGAAAGGUGUUGGCAUAACAAUAAGCUUAUAAUGGAGCAAAAUUUCCAAAAAUAAUUUAAUAGAACAAAACUGCAUGACUUUAAACUAAUAAAUAAUGCUAAGCAUAACCCAUGCAGUUUUGAGACUUUCAGGCAUAUAAAAUACAGUUUGGACCCAGGCAAUGAAAGUUAUAGCAAACGAGCCGAUACUCUACUGCCGAUACUCUAAUAAUGCAAUAUUAGAGAAAAUAGCUAGAAUAAAUUCUCUAAACUGUUCUAGCAGUCCUUGCUCAAUGAUUUUCAACUUUGGGUUAGGGCCUAGGGUAUCAGAAUCUCUCAGAGGACUUGUCCAAAAUACGUACAUAUCUUCAUUAGUUUUUAAAUUAAAAUAUAGUUGCUGUACAAUAUAUGUUACAGGUGUACAG